rnacentral:tRNA from 1 species
GGAUAGCUCAAUUGGUUAGAAUGUGGUGCUGAUAAUGCCCAGGUUGCAGGUUCGAUCCUCGUCUGCAACA